AAACCCCAAAAAACAAAAACCAGCAAAACCCAGAAUAGAGAUUGAGGCCAGCCCUUCUCUGUAGCGCUGCUCUAUUUAUAGCCUCCUUAAUGCCCAGAGUCCAGGGAAGUUUCCUUGAGGGUUUGUCCAGCUAUCUGAGUCACGUGGCUCUUUUCCCUUGAACCUUGGCACAAUCAAGUGUAGGUGUGUCCUCAAAGUGUAGGUGUGUCUUCAACGUGUAGGCGGCUGUAAGGCUGCUGCCUUGAGAGAGCAAGGAUUCCUACGAGGAGGAAAGGGAGGCUUUGAAGUUUCACUUGCCACAAUGACGGACAGAAGCCCCUUUGAGACAGACAUGCUGACCCUGACCCGUUACGUUAUGGAAAAGGGGCGACAGGCCAAAGGGACCGGAGAACUCACCCAGCUGCUCAACUCGAUGCUGACUGCCAUCAAAGCCAUCUCUUCCGCUGUGCGAAAGGCCGGCCUGGCCAACCUGUAUGGGAUUGCGGGAAGCGUGAAUGUGACAGGGGAUGAGGUGAAGAAACUGGAUGUGCUGUCCAAUUCCCUGGUGAUCAACAUGCUUCAGUCCUCCUACAGCACCUGUGUGCUUGUCUCAGAAGAGAAUAAAGAGGCUGUGAUCACAGCCAAGGAGAGGAGGGGGAAAUAUGUGGUUUGCUUUGACCCACUGGAUGGAUCUUCAAACAUUGACUGCCUGGCUUCCAUUGGAACUAUAUUUGCUAUCUACAGAAAGACCACAGAGGAUGAGCCUUCCGAGAAGGAUGCCUUGCAGCCUGGACGCAAUAUCGUGGCUGCAGGUUAUGCACUGUAUGGUAGUGCAACCCUGGUGGCUCUUUCUACAGGGCAAGGAGUGGAUCUCUUCAUGCUGGACCCGGCUCUUGGAGAAUUCGUGCUAGUGGAAAAAGAUAUCCGGAUUAAGAAGAAAGGGAAAAUUUUUAGCCUCAAUGAGGGCUAUGCCAAGUAUUUUGAUGCUGCUACCGCUGAGUAUGUACAGAAAAAGAAGUUCCCUGAGGGGUUCAUGUCACUGUUUACAACGCUCAUCUGCAUGAGUCUGAUGGACUCUGUCCUUCUUCAUCAAUGAUCAAUCUUCUUUGCAUCUGGGAGUGACAUAUUAAAAUGAACACUGCCCGAUUCAGUCCCUCUAGGAAUUUGUCAGAAGCCACAUUUUCAGAAUUCAUAACUCCAGCCAGAAGCACUCUCAGGUCAUGUUUGCUAAGCUGUAAUCUAUAGAUGUUGAAAUACCAGUUACUCUGCUUUAAGAUGGGAUAUGAUCAUAUCAUUCAGUUUACAAGCUAUCUUAUCGUGAUCUUGCUGUUAACCAUAGGUCAUCCGAUGUUGUCAUUAUUGUUUGUGAUGCUGGGACUCCAAGUCAGAUCCUUGCAUAUAUUCUGAAAAAGCAGUGAAGGACUGAGCUGCUCCCUGCCUCCACACCUUCUCACAGUAUAGAGAAGAAUGGAGAGAAAAGUGUCUACCUGCUCAACAACAAAGUCUUUCUUUGUCUCUCUGUGUGUAUUUAUAGAGUCUGGAGCUUGCCAAGGAGGCGAAGCUGGCUGACCAGUGAUUUCCAAGGAAUCUACCAAUCUUUAUCUCUAUGGAUGGCAGUGCACCUUACGGGGCAAGGUACGUGGGUUCCAUGGUGGCUGAUGUGCAUCGCACCCUGGUCUAUGGAGGAAUCUUCAUGUACCCAGCCAACCAGAAGAGUCCUAAUGGCAAG